rnacentral:rRNA from 1 species
UUAGAGUUUGAUCCUGGCUCAGGAUGAACGCUGGCGGCGUGGAUAAGGCAUGCAAGUCGAACGGAGAAGUCCCAUGAAAUUACAAGAAACUUCAAGUAGCAAUACAAGAAGAAUCGAGUAAUGGAUUGGGUUCGCUUCUUAGUGGCAAACGAGGUAGUAAUACACAGGAACGUACCCCAAAGUCGUGAAUAAUUCGUCGAAAGACGAACUAAUACACGAUGGUCCCGUAAGGGUAAAGAAUUUCGCUUUGGGAGCGGCCUGUGCGGUAUCAGCUAGUUGGCAGUGUAAAAGACUACCAAGGCUAUGACGCCUAGGGGAGGUGAGAGCCUGACCCCCACCGAUGGAACUGCGACACGGUCCAUACACCUACGGGUGGCUGCAGCCGAGAAUAUUCCGCAAUGGACGAAAGUCUGACGGAGCGACGCCGCGUGAUUGAUGAAGUCCCUUUGGGACGUAAAGAUCUUUUGUCGGGGAAGAAGUUUAUUGACUGUACCCGAAGAAUAAGAGGCUCCUAAUCUCGUGCCAGCAGGAGCGGUAAUACGAGAGCCUCGAGCGUUAUCCGGAAUUAUUGGGCGUAAAGGGUGCCUAGGUUGUUUUGUUAGUCUUUUGUUAAAUCUCCGAGCUUAACUUGGAGCAUGUGAAAGAUACGGCAAAACUAGAAAGUGCGAGAGGUGUACGGAACUCAUGGUGUAGGGGUGAAUCCGUUGAUAUCAUGGGAACACCAAAAGCGAAAGCAGUACACUGGCGCAUAUUUGACACUCAAGCACGAAAGCGUGGGUAGCGAAUGGGAUUAGAUACCCCAGUAGUCCACGCCCUAAACGAUCUUCUCUCGGUUUUCGGAGUAUCGACCCUCUGAGAGCCUAAGCUAACGCGUUAAGAGAAGCGCCUGGGAAGUACGGCCGCAAGGCUAAAACUCAAAGGAAUAGACGGGGACUUGCACAAGCAGUGGAUUAUGUGGUUUAAUUCGACGGUAACCGAAGAACCUUACCGAGGCUAGAAAUCAAAGUGAAAGGUCUAAGAAACUAGACCCCUCGCAAGACACUUUGACAGGCGCUGCAUGGCCGUCGUCAGUUCGUGGUUUGAAUUGUACCCUUAAGUGGGCUAACGAACGCAACCCUCUUUGUCUGUUAUACGUGUCAGACGAUACUGCCCCGACCAAAGUUUUCGAAAAAUUUUCGAAGGUUUUGGUCGGGGAGGAAGGAGAGGAUGACGCCAGGUCCGCAUGGCCUUUGAUGCCUCGGGCUACACACAUAAUACAAUGGCUAUUACAAAGCGCAGCGACGGGGCAACCCUGAGCAAAUCGUCUAAAAAUAGCCUCAGCUCGGAUUGGAGUCUGCAACUCGACUCCAUGAAGCCGGAAUUGCUAGUAAUCGCAGGUCAGCAAACUGCGGUGAAUACGUUCUCAAGUCUUGUACUCACCGCCCGUCAAUUCAAGGGAGCCGGGAGUACCCGAAAUCUCUCCAUAAGGAGGGCCUACGGUAAGCUCGGUGACAGGGAAUAAGUCGUAACAAGGUAACC